UAUCCAUCUGCCUUGGCCUCCCAAAGUGCUGGGAUUACAGGCGUGAGCCCCCGCACCUGGCCAAGAUCAGCUAGAUUUUGGAAGCAUUGCCUUCUACAGAAUCCACAGUAGUCCGAAGUUCUUCUACGGUUUUUGUCAAACUUUGAUUUUCCAUCUCUAGCUUCAAUAAUCUACUUGAUGUCAACUCAUUCACCUCAUGGCCCAGGGAUUUCUGGGGUGCUAUAAUAUUGAAAAAUACACCAUUGUAUUUACUCUUUA